ACCCAGACUCCUACGGGAGGCAGCAGUGGGGGAUAUUGCACAAUGGGGGGAACCCUGAUGCAGCGACGCCGCGUGGGUGAAGGAGCGUUUCGGCGCGUAAAGCCCUAUCGGCAGGGAAGAAAGAGGACGGUACCUGACUAAGAAGCCCCGGCUAACUACGUGCCAGCAGCCGCGGUAAUACGUAGGGGGCAAGCGUUAUCCGGAUUUACUGGGUGUAAAGGGAGCGCAGACGGCAAUGCAAGCCUGGAGUGAAAGGCGGGGGCCCAACCCCCGGACUGCUCUGGGAACUGUAUAGCUAGAGUGCAGGAGAGGCAAGUGGAAUUCCUAGUGUAGCGGUGAAAUGCGUAGAUAUUAGGAGGAACACCAGUGGCGAAGGCGGCUUGCUGGACUGUAACUGACGUUGAGGCUCGAAAGCGUGGGGAGCAAACAGGAUUAGAUCCCCUCGUA
rnacentral:rRNA from 1 species